UACGUAGGCAGCGAGCGUUGUCCGGAAUUAUUGGGCGUAAAGAGCUCGUAGGCGGUGUGUCGCGUCGGCCGUGAAAACCUGCAGCUUAACUGUGGGCUUGCGGUCGAUACGGGCAUCACUGGAGUUCGGCAGGGGAGACUGGAAUUUCCGGUGUAGCGGUGAAAUGCGUAGAUAUCGGAAGGAACACCAGUGGCGAAAGCGGCUUCCUGGUCCAGCACCGACGUUCAGGCACGAAAGCGUGGGGAGCAAACAGG
rnacentral:rRNA from 1 species